UACGAAGGGUGCAAACGUUGCUCGGAAUCAUUGGGCGUAAAGCGCACGUAGGCGGCCUCCUAAGUCGGAUGUGAAAUCCCUCGGCUCAACCGAGGACGUGCAUCCGAAACUGUGAAGCUCGAGUAUGGAAGAGGGUCGCGGAAUUCCCGGUGUAGAGGUGAAAUUCGUAGAUAUCGGGAGGAACACCAGUGGCGAAGGCGGCGACCUGGGCCAAUACUGACGCUGAGGUGCGAAAGCGUGGGGAGCAAACAGG
rnacentral:rRNA from 1 species